rnacentral:rRNA from 1 species
UAAUACGGAGGGUCCAAGCGUUAUCCGGAUUCAUUGGGUUUAAAGGGUGCGUAGGCGGAUUUAUAAGUCAGUGGUGAAAGCCUGCAGCUUAACUGUAGAAUUGCCAUUGAAACUGUUUAUCUUGAGUUUAGUUGAAGUGGGCGGAAUGUGUCAUGUAGCGGUGAAAUGCAUAGAUAUGACACAGAACACCGAUAGCGAAGGCAGCUCACUAGGCUAAUACUGACGCUGAGGCACGAAAGCGUGGGGAGCGAACAGGAUUAGAUACCCUGGUAGUCCACGCCGUAAACGAUGAUUACUCGAUGUGUGCGAUAUAAUGUACGCGUCCAAGCGAAAGUGAUAAGUAAUCCACCUGGGGAGUACGUUCGCAAGAAUG